UACGUAGGGGGCAAGCGUUGUCCGGAAUUAUUGGGCGUAAAGAGCGCGUAGGCGGUCCGAUAAGUCGGCUGUGAAAGUCAGGGGCUCAACCCUUGAAAGCCGGCCGAUACUGUCGGGCUAGAGUGCGGAAGAGGCGAGUGGAAUUCCUGGUGUAGCGGUGAAAUGCGCAGAUAUCAGGAGGAACACCAAUUGCGAAGGCAGCUCGCUGGGACGUGACUGACGCUGAGACGCGAAAGCGUGGGGAGCAAACAGG
rnacentral:rRNA from 1 species